GUCUUCUUGGUUUUAAUUAGAAGUUUGGCCUGCCCGGUGAAUUGUUUUAACGGCCGCGGUAUCUUGACCGUGCAAAGGUAGCAUAAUCAUUAGUCUUUUAAUAGGGGGCUGGAAUGAAGGGUUUCACGAAGUAAUAGCUGUCUCUUAUGAAUUAUUUUAAAAUUUAAUUUUUAGGUUAAAAGGCCUAGAUGUUGUUGGAAGACGAGAAGACCCUAUAGAGCUUUAUAUUUAUUUUUUUGAUUUUUGUUGGGUAAUCAUUAUUAAUUAUUUCAAUAUUUAUUUUGUUGGGGUGACAAAAAAUAUAUUUUUAACUUUUAUAUUUAUUAUACAUUGAUAUAUGUUUAUUAGAUCCAUUAUUAUUGAUCAUUAGAAUAAGUUACCUUAGGGAUAACAGCGUAAUCCCUCUUUGGAGUUCGAAUUUACAGGGGGGCUUGCGACCUCGAUGUUGGAUUAAGAUAAUAGUUAGGUGCAGUAGCUUAAUCAAUAGGUCUGUUCGACCUUUAAAUUCUUACAUGAUCUGAGUUCAGACCGG
rnacentral:rRNA from 1 species